GACGAACCGAGCGACCGUUGUUCGGAAUCACUGGGCUUAAAGGGCGCGUAGGCGGGUGCUCAAGUCCGUGGUGAAAUCCUCCGGCUCAACCGGAGAACUGCCUCGGAUACUGGGUGCCUCGAGGGUGGUAGGGGUAUGCGGAACUAUCGGUGGAGCGGUGAAAUGCGUUGAUAUCGAUAGGAACUCCGGUGGCGAAGGCGGCAUACUGGACCACCUCUGACACUGAGGAGCGAAAGCCAGGGGAGCAAACGGG
rnacentral:rRNA from 1 species